GAUGAACGCUGGCGGCGUGCUUAACACAUGCAAGUCGAACGGUGAAGGCGGAGCUUGCUCUGCUGGAUCAGUGGCGAACGGGUGAGUAACACGUGAGCAAUCUGCCCCUGACUCUGGGAUAAGCGCUGGAAACGGCGUCUAAUACUGGAUACGAGCUGCGAAGGCAUCUUCAGCAGCUGGAAAGAAUUUCGGUCAGGGAUGAGCUCGCGGCCUAUCAGCUUGUUGGUGAGGUAAUGGCUCACCAAGGCGUCGACGGGUAGCCGGCCUGAGAGGGUGACCGGCCACACUGGUACUGAGACACGGCCCAGUCUCCAACGGGAGGCAGCAGUGGGGAAUAUUGCACAAUGAGCGAAAGCCUGAUGCAGCAACGCCGCGUGGGGGACGACGGCCUUCGGGUUGUAAACCUCUUUUAGCAGGGAAGAAGCGAAAGUGACGUUACCUGCAGAAUAAGCGCCGGCUAACUACGUG
rnacentral:rRNA from 1 species